UAGUGUAGUGGUUAGCACAUCUGCUUUGCACGCAGAAGGUCCUGGGUUUGCCCCCCAG
rnacentral:tRNA from 1 species